rnacentral:rRNA from 1 species
UGGGGAAUUUUGGACAAUGGGCGAAAGCCUGAUCCAGCAAUGCCGCGUGUGUGAAGAAGGCCUUCGGGUUGUAAAGCACUUUUGUCCGGAAAGAAAUGGCUCUGGUUAAUACCUGGGGUCGAUGACGGUGCCGGAAGAAUAAGGACCAGCUAACUACGUGCCAGCAGCCGCGGCAAUACGUAGGGUCCAAGCGUUAAUCGGAAUUACUGGGCGUAAAGCGUGCGCAGGAGGUUGUGCAAGACCGAUGUGAAAUCCCCGAGCUUAACUUGGGGAUUGCAUUGGUGACUGCACGGCUAGAGUGUGUCAGAGGGGGGUAGAAUUCCACGUGUAGCAGUGAAAUGCGUAGAGAUGUGGAGGAAUACCGAUGGCGAAGGCAGCCCCCUGGGAUAACACUGACGCUCAUGCACGAAAGCGUGGGGAGCAAACAGG